rnacentral:ncRNA from 1 species
AUAAAAUUUUUAUGUUUUAUUAAUUUUAUUUUAAAUUUAUUUUACAUGUAAAUUUUAGUGUUAAAUUUUAAUUAUUUUAAUAAUAAUUAAUUAAGUUUACAGUAAUUAACUUUAAAAAUUUAAGAAAUUAAGAUUUAGUAAUUUUUAAAUUAAAAACUAAUUUUGUGCCAGCAGUUGCGGUUAAACAAAAUUUAAAUUAAAAUAUUUCAGUUUAUAAUAAAUAAUAAUUUAUUAAAUUAAAUAUUAAAUUAUUAAGUGAAAUUUUAAUUUAAUAAAAUUUUAUUUAAAUUUUAUGAUUUAAUAAAUUUAAAAAUAAACUAGGAUUAGAUACCCUAUUAUUAAAAAUUUAAUUUAUAAUACUAAAAUAGUAAAUAAUUAUUUAUUGAAACUUAAAUAAUAUGGCGGUAUUAUAGUUCAUUUAGAGGAAUCUGUCUAAUAAUUGAUAAUCCACGAUUAAAUUUACUUAAUUUAUAAUUUUGUAUAUCAUUGUUAAAAAAAUAUUUUUUAAUGAAAAUAAUAUUUAAAAAUUUUAUUAAAAAAUUAAAUCAAAUCAAGAUGCAGAAUAUAAUUAAGAAUAUGAUGGAUUACAAUAAAAUUAUUUAUAUGAAUUGUAUAUUGUAAAAUAUAUUUGAAAGUGGAUUUAAAUGUAAUUUUAUUUAAUAUAAUAAAAUGAUUAUAAAUUUUAAUAUGUACAUAUUGCCCGUCACUUUCAUUUAAAAAUUGAAAUAAGUCGUAACAAAGUAGAAGUACUGGAAAGUGUUUCUAGAAAGA